UACGAAGGGGCGAGCGUUGUUCGGAUUUACUGGGCGUAAAGGGCGCGUAGGCGGCGGGUCAAGUCGAGUGUGAAAGCCCCGGGCUCAACCUGGGAGGUGCGCUCGAGACUGGUCUGCUAGAGUUCGGGAGAGGAGCGUGGAAUUCCCAGUGUAGAGGUGAAAUUCGUAGAUAUUGGGAAGAACACCGGUGGCGAAGGCGGCGCUCUGGACCGAGACUGACGCUGAGGCGGCGAAAAGCGUGGGGAGCAAACAGGG
rnacentral:rRNA from 1 species